AGAAAAUUGUAUGAUUUUGUUUAGUGAUGCUAUAGUUAUUUGGAGAAGCACAAAACCAAAGUAGAUAUAUUCUUUGAUAUGCAGUCUUAAUUGGCAGUAUCGACGAAGAUGUAAUCAAACGGAGACCCGCACAACAAAGAGAUCCAAAGCUUUUGGACCAGAAAAUUGUAUGAUUUUGUUUGGGGAUACAAUAGUUAUUUGGAGAAGCACAAGGCCAAAGUAGAUAUAUUCUUUGAUAUGCAGUCUUAUUUGGGAGUAUCGACGAAGAUGUAAUCAAACGGAGACCCGCACAACAAAGAGGCGAGUCUUAAUAGGGAGUAUCGAUGAAGAUGUAAUCAAACGGAGACCCGCACAACAAAGAGGUGAGGUGAACAUAAAUCAUAGAUUCACUAAUUU